GAUGAACGCUGGCUACAGGCUUAACACAUGCAAGUCGAGGGGAAGCGACGGGGAAGCUUGCUUCCCCGGGCGUCGACCGGCGCACGGGUGAGUAACGCGUAUCCAACCUGCCUCUGACUGAGGGAUAACCCGUCGAAAGUCGGCCUAAUACCUCAUGGUAUCGUCUGCGGGCAUCCAACGACGAUUAAAGAUUUCAUCGGUCAGGGAUGGGGAUGCGUCUGAUUAGCUUGUUGGCGGGGUAACGGCCCACCAAGGCUACGAUCAGUAGGGGUUCUGAGAGGAAGGUCCCCCACAUUGGAACUGAGACACGGUCCAAACUCCUACGGGAGGCAGCAGUGAGGAAUAUUGGUCAAUGGGCGAGAGCCUGAACCAGCCAAGUAGCGUGCAGGAAGACGGCCCUAUGGGUUGUAAACUGCUUUUAUGCGGGGAUAAAGUGAGGGACGUGUCCCUCAUUGCAGGUACCGCAUGAAUAAGGACCGGCUAAUUCCGUG
rnacentral:rRNA from 1 species